GAUGAACGCUGGCGGUGUGCCUAAUACAUGCAAGUCGAACGAGAUCUUCGGAUCUAGUGGCGGACGGGUGAGUAACACGUUGGUACCUGCCCCUAAGUGGGGAAUAACUGCCCGAAAGGGUGGCUAAUACCGCAUAAUCCCGCAAGGGUAAAGUCGCAAGACGCUUAGGGAGGGGCCCGCGUUCCGUUAGCUAGUUGGUAGGGUAAUUGCCUACCAAGGCGACGAUGGAUAGCUGGAUCGAGAGGUUGACCAGCCACACUGGGACUGAGAUACGGCCCAGACUCCUACGGGAGGCAGCAGUAAGGAAUCUUCCACAAUGGACGAAAGUCUGAUGGAGCAACACCGCGUGCAGGAUGUCGGCCUUCGGGUUGUAAACUGCUUUUACCAGAGAUGAUAAUGACAGUAUCUGGGGAAUAAGCCCCGGCUAACUCAGUGCCAGCAGCCGCGGUAA
rnacentral:rRNA from 1 species